UGGGGAAUUUUGGACAAUGGGCGAAAGCCUGAUCCAGCAAUGCCGCGUGUGUGAAGAAGGCCUUCGGGUUGUAAAGCACUUUUGUCCGGAAAGAAAUCCUUGGCUCUAAUACAGUCGGGGGAUGACGGUACCGGAAGAAUAAGCACCGGCUAACUACGUGCCAGCAGUCGCGGUAAUACGUAGGGUGCAAGCGUUAAUCGGAAUUACUGGGCGUAAAGCGUGCGCAGGCGGUUUGCUAAGACCGAUGUGAAAUCCCCGGGCUCAACCUGGGAACUGCAUUGGUGACUGGCAGGCUAGAGUAUGGCAGAGGGGGGUAGAAUUCCACGUGUAGCAGUGAAAUGCGUAGAGAUGUGGAGGAAUACCGAUGGCGAAGGCAGCCCCCUGGGCCAAUACUGACGCUCAUGCACGAAAGCGUGGGGAGCAAACAGGAUUAGAUACCCUGGUAGUCCACGCCCUAAACGAUGUCAACUAGUUGUUGGGGAUUCAUUUCCUUAGUAACGUAGCUAACGCGUGAAGUUGACCGCCUGGGGAGUACGGUCGCAAGAUUAAAACUCAAAUGAAUUGACGGGGUCAUAGCUGUUUCCU
rnacentral:rRNA from 1 species